UCAUGUAAUCUCCUUUAAAAACGUUUUUUCCCACUUUCUCAUUUUUGCUCGAGUUCAUCGUCUGACCAGGUCUGACCAGGGCUGACUGCCACACAAGGCUGGAAACUAAACCACUCAGUGUGGAUGAGCUAGUUGAAUUCACAUGUCCAAAAUUGAAUUGCAGAUUCUCUGUACCACAGACUACAUCUGUACAAAUACUGCACUGUAAGUAAAUUUGAAUUUCCAUCAUGUUGGUUAGCACUAGCAUAGACAACGAAGUGGUCUAUGGUCGUUUUUUCCCAAGUCCACUUCGUUGUCUAUGGCACUAGUACUAGCUGAUAAGUCAACGACAGAAGAGUUGCUUAAAAGUAAUUUUUAAUUUCUUUUUCCAAGAAUGGUUAAUGGUGUAAAGUUUUAAUUAAAACAUUUUAGCUUCUACAGAAAAACCAAUUCCGACAAUCAUGUGAGUGAACUGCUGAUGGAUAUCUAAUUGAAAAAAUUUCUCUUCAGAAUUCUUUUAAAAAAAAUAAGACUGUAAAAAAAAUAGUGAUUUCCAAUAUUAUUUAAAAGCUUUACCAUGAUGUAAUAACAAUUUGGUUCAGGACAGCCUUAAACAAAACUCUUCUUUAACCCCAGGUUUUUAAAAUGAAGUGUAGCAGAUAUGACUUGGUUAACAUAGUUAUGGCUACGUCUACCCAUGGCGGGAAAAGGUGAACAGCUGACUGUUGUAUGUGUGACAGUGUGAGAUUGAAGAUUUCCUAGACAGAAUUCUGGCUACUUGUUAUUCGGUACCACCUUUUAUGUAAUUUUAGACAACAUCCAGUAAGUCAUAUCAAUUAAAAUUGUAAUCCUUAUUAUAAACACAUCUGUGAACAAAGAGUUAGCUUCAGGAUUGAGAUUCCUCAACACAUACAACAAGGACCCCAUUUCAAGUUGUAGCAUCCAGCCUUUUCUCAACUGCCAUGUAGCUUCUUUUUACAGGAUAGAACAAGGAUUCUCCAUUGCAGUUGGAGAUGUUACAUAUGGGCUGUUAGGCAGAGCACUGCUUAAGAAAGCAGUACAGUGGCAAUUUGGUAAGUAUGACUUCGGACGUUUCUGCUAGGAGUUCAAGAAUCGCGAAGCAAUUGAACAACCACAUCUGUACUGGAAUUAGUAUGAUGGGAUAUUGGUAUGUAAAUGAUAUUGCAAGUUUAUUUCUUACAGGGUGAUCAGAAUAACCAAAAAAUUGGGAACAGUGACCAAAACACGGAAAUGUGAAGUUUAUUUUCAUGGAUUCAAAGAAAGGCUAAAAAAACAAAUAACCUAUAUAUUGUUGAAAGCUUCCUUUGUGUAGUUUCAAAUGCCAACAACCUUAUUUUUGAAAAAGAAAAAAAUAAGGCAUUAAUAAGGAAUAGUAUGUUGGAAGGAAUGACUUUGGUCUUUACUCCUCUGUUGGAAUUUGCAUGCUACCAUUGUCUUCGUCCGUCACAGGACAAAAUCACUUCACAAGUAAAAUCGGAUUGUGAUGUGAUGAAAUUAGUUCUCAAUGUAGAUGAGGAUCUUGAAAAAUCUCCAUACCUUAUGUCAGCUGUAAAAGUGUUGAAGGUGUUGGUGAAUGGACAUAUUGAGUCC
rnacentral:lncRNA from 1 species